CGGCUCCCAAAUUCGCUGUCUCUCUCUCUUCGUCUCCUCCUCCCCGUCUCCUUCGUCAAGCAAGGCGGCUAGGUCCUGCCUUUGGCGUUCCUUUGGCUACUUUUCCUAAGGACCCGUCCACGAGUAGCUAGAACCCACUGAGCAAAGUCUACGAGGAACCUCUAUUUCGAAUAUAUACACGGGCAAACGACGGACGCUUUCGGCAGGAAACCUCACUCUAGUUCUGUACCACCACGCCUUCUCCAACCUAAUACCUAGAGCACCGGUGGUCCAAGGGCGGUACGGUGCGCAAGGUUCGAGACGAGCCCCCUUUGCGAGCCGGUCCUCUUUCUUUCUGCUCUACAGGGGCAAACUAAACGAGCGCUGGCAGCGUCCUUGCGACGAUCACCUAGUACUCUUAAGUAGGUUACGAGGAUCGUAGUUACGUCGCCGAAACUGGAUACGGUCCUUUUCCUUUAGUCAAUUUCGACUCGUCAUACUACUGCAAGGCAGCGAAUUUUCGUAACGGCACCUCUUGACAUAUCGUCCAAGACCACCACACACACGGAGAGGGUCCGUUCGAUUGUAGACGAACCGUCUUUUGAGCAGCUGUGCUUUACCAUGACUGGGUCACAAUCUCAGUGAUUGGCACUUUGGUCUAUACAACCAAUCCCUGAGCCACAAAUCAACAUGUUUUAGUACAUUGGCACGGGUACCACAACCGCCUUAAGGUCUCACACCUAGAAGUGCCAGCGAUCUCCGAUGAUUAGUUCACGUCCACGUCGUUGGAUACCUACCACUGUGGUGUCGGAACAUGUCAAACCAAUCGAGACACCUAAACCUACCGUCUGGAGGACGAAACCAAUCGAGACUGUCAUCGAGUCCUCACGGAAACACGUAGGUACUUUUCCUGGCGUGGUGGAGGGGGAAUACGGUACGACUUCGCUCCGUACGACGUCUAUCUCUACUACUGCUUUUAAGAAGGCCCACGUGAGUAGGUACGUGGUGCCCUUUAUUAUUCUCGAUAUACGGUGUCAUAUGUCCGCUAUCGUCCUAUUCCUUUUACAAACGGAGGUUCUAUUCCUUCCGUCGAGCAUUAUUCUACACACCUCUCUACAGGUUAUUUCCAUCGUUCGAUUUAAAUACACCUUUUUUCUAUAGGUGGUGUGCGGUUUCUCAUGUUUCUCGUUACAAGUUCUCUGUUUUCGGUCACGCGGCAGUAAAAUGUGGUAGAAGACGAUUUCCCUAAGAUUGACUUCAAUUCGAUUCUUAGUUCAGUAAGUGGUAGGGCCUUGACAAGUAGCUCUAGGGACUUUUACGUUGUCAACCAAGUAACUUCUCUUGACAUUACCUGCAACAAUGAUCAUAUUAACUUUCACCGGAGGCCCAGCCACAAGAAGAAGUUCCUUUCUCAUAAGUUCUACUGUUGUUCUGUGAAGCAGUUCGAUCUUAAACGGUGCCACUUUUAGAUCUUUUGUAUCUGAAGUGUGACCUUACACUUCGACCCGUUUUGAGAAGGGGGCCCCAGUCUUAUGGUCUCCUUUACCUAAAAGUACCACGUCUACGGUACUUUGGUAAUCGGUACCAUUUCACACUUCUCGGGAAAAGACUCUGGUUCCGGCCAAUAUUGUCGGUCGUCGCACACGUCCGAAGAGGUUUGGCACAAGUCUCACUUGUACCAAGACAAGUAAGAGAAAAGCUUUGCUGGCGAGUGCUUCGUAGUCGAUCGAGUGUUCGGUAACAAGGCCAACGGAGAGGUUCGAGUCUCCGAGAUCGGUAGCACGGACAAACGUUCAGUUUCGCCGGGCAAUAACCCGUUUCUGCGUAUUCCUCCGGGAAGAGGAACGGACUCCACCUCCGCGAUCACCUUCGGCAGCUUGUCGAACCUUGUCCUUCCACCUCCCUGCAAUUUUACGAGCGCAAGCUGUUAUGACUAGUAUCCUGAAUACAGCUAGAGUUCCUGUUCACCUUCUGGGACCACGUGUGCCGCUCGUAUAGCGGCGUCGUCUCCGCCCCGCUCGGCCACGGCGUCCCCGACGAGCUGGCGCACGACCGUCGCGUCCGGAUGACCAGGGUCGUCGUCGUCGUCGUCGAGAGUCCGUUCCGAAGUCCUGUCCCGACGAGGAGGUCGACGACUUCCUUAGGAAGAGACGGAACGGACGGAUCUCUCCUUUUUUUGACUAUGAGACAUUUUUUUUAACAAAUUUCCUCCAACUGAUUAAAAGACAUAAAUAAGGUUUGAGUGUCCAGUAAAAUAAAAGGGAAAGAAGAAGAGACAAACGACGAGUCCGGUCCACGAGAGAAAGGAGACAGCUAAUUAUUCUCUUUGAUUUGCGGACCAAAGCUGCCGGGGAAACAUUUACUAAAAUAUUUGAUAAACCUUACAAAGUCAUAAAUGGUCUACAAGUAUAUUUUUGUCAAGUUGUAAGGUCAAGAACGUGUAAAAG
rnacentral:rRNA from 1 species